CUAAAUAAACGACGAGUCGAUUGUCUUGAGUUAUCUGUUUUAUUCUGCAUUUCAUUCUCUUCUGCGUUUUUUCGUUGGUCAAAAAAAGAGCAUAAAAUUGCUAAAUUUGUGUUUCAAUAAAUAUAAUUUAAGUUUAAAUAGUUGCUUAACAAAAUGUCGCUUGCGGAAAAGAUUACGGGGCUGCUGGCGCGACCCAAUCAACAACCGGAUCCUGCUGGCGGUCCUGAAGCGCCCUGGUAUCUCAAAUAUGGCAGUCGAGUGCUGGGCAUCGUUGCUUCCUUCUUUGCCAUACUCUUCGGUCUGUGGAACGUCGUCUCGAUUCUCACACUGGAUGUAUCAUGCUUGGUCGCUGGCAUCAUUCAAAUGCUGGCCGGGUUUAUAGUAAUGGCGCUGGAAGCGCCUUGUUGCUUUCCCUGCAUCGAGCAGGUCGAUCAGGUGGCGGGUAAGGUGGAGGCCAAGCCAAUGUACUUCCGAGCGGGUCUCUACUGCGCAUUGGCUGUGCCGCCCAUUUUCAUGUGCUUCGGCUUGGCGAGUCUCUUUGGCAGCGGCUUAAUCUUCGCAACUGGAGCCGUCUACGGCAUGAUGGCGUUAGGCAAGAAAGCUUCGCGCGAGGACAUGGCUGCUGCGGCCACAUCGCCCACACAAAUGGGAGGCGACCAGGCGGGCGGCCAAAUGCAAAUGGGCGGCGAUCAACAUAUCACACUCAUGGAAGACCCCGAUGUUUGGCGUCCAACAUAAACACGCCAACUAAAUGCAUAAACUGCCAAAACCAAUUAACAAUUCCAACACAGACAUAAACACAAAAACACCUUCACUGCAGAUACUCACACAAACACCCCAAACCGAAAAGAAAUGAAAACCUAAAACAAAUACAAUGGCAAUUAGACAAAGAAAUAUCAUGAUGAAAUAUUGAGUAACAAAUAUUUUAUGGCGCAUAGCUUUUAGUGUUCGUUCCAAUUGAAAGUGAAAAACAAAAACGAAAACCAAAAAAAUAAAAACAAUAAAAGAACAUCAUAAAUAAUACAAAAAACACCCCACCAAUUUGAAAAACAAAAGAAAACUAAAGGAAACUUUUCAUAAUUGUUACUAAACACAAUGUUUGCAAAAUGUUGUUUGGUCAUUUGUCGUCCUUUGCAUGUAGUUGCAUUUCUCCAUUUUUAAAUGUCUUUUGUCGAGUGCGACGGUGUUGUUAAAAGUACAGUUAAAUAUACUAAACAUACAUAUGCAUAAAUACAUAUAACAAUUUACAUAUGUAUAUAUAUAAAAUAUAUAUAAAUAUAUGUAAAGUUUAUUUUUAGUGAGAAAAUUCUAUUGAUAACAAAAAACAAAUCAAAUCAAUACUCUAGAAAACAAACCUAAAGGAACGAAUGAUGAGCAGCUUCCACACAAAUGCAAAUUAAAAGUAAAUUUAUGAAUCGUUGAGCAAUAAUUGUACAACUAUAAUUGGAAACUCUUAACUUGAUAUUAUGCAUUGCUUGAAUGCCAAUCAAAUUCAAUUGUUAAAUGUUUCGUUUAGCUUUCAUAUCACAAUAUAUAUAUCUAUAUAUAUUUCGAGCUAUUAAUGUAUACCUGAAUUGUUCAUAAUUGACUUCUAAAUAUUGUAAACAAAUCAGUUCUCAGACGUAAUCUCACUACAGCUUUGGCCCUACACAGAGACACAUUCCCUACAAUUUAGAGCAUAUGUAUUUAUUUUAUAUUAGUUAUAUUAAGAUUAAGUUUUUGUUAUGCCUAAAUAGUAACUCGCAGCAAAACAAUACUCGCAACACAUUAUCUAAAAGAAGAAAAAGAAAAAACUCAGCAUCCUAGUGGAUCCAUAUUGGCAUCCAAUGUGGCUUGCUCUCUAUCUCUUAAUAAAUACUACUUGCAUAAUCUCAAUAUGAUAACGUGUUACUGGUAGCCAGAGAAGAGUCCUAGCUUGCAAAACUAGUUCAAAUUACAUAGUUAAAAAUAAUGUAUAUUGAUUUCAUAUCGAAUGCAACACUAAAAAUUAUCACUCAAUCAAAUAUUUGGUUAACUUAAAAGAAUGAAAUGCUUCAAUUUAAAUAUAUACUUAAAUGCUAAUGAAUUGUAAAUGCCAAACUGCCCCAGAACAGUCCAGUAUGCAGCAAAAAGCCAACUACAACAACAACAACAACAACUACACCAAGAACAACAGCAACAGCAAGAAAGCUUCCGCUGAUGAUAUGCGCGCGGCGGCACAGCAAACAGGAUACGGCGGAAAUGCUGCGUCCACGACGAACGAUCGGGCGGGCAUUGUGAACAAUGCGCAGCCGUUCUCUUUCACCGGAGCCGUGGGCACGGACAGCAAUGUGUGAUG